UCAAAGAUUAAGCCAUGCAUGUCUAAGUAUAAGCAAUUAUACCGUGAAACUGCGAAUGGCUCAUUAAAUCAGUUAUCGUUUAUUUGAUAGUACCUUACUACUUGGAUAACCGUGGUAAUUCUAGAGCUAAUACAUGCUAAAAACCCCAACUUCGGGAGGGGUGUAUUUAUUAGAUAAAAAACCAAUGCCCUUCGGGGCUCCUUGGUGAUUCAUGAUAACUUCUCAGAUCGCAUGGCUUUACGCCGGCGACGGUUCAUUCAAAUUUCUGCCCUAUCAACUUUCGAUGGUAAGGUAUUGGCUUACCAUGGUUUCAACGGGUAACGGGGAAUUAGGGUUCGAUUCCGGAGAGGGAGCCUGAGAAACGGCUACCACAUCCAAGGAAGGCAGCAGGCGCGCAAAUUACCCAAUUCCGAUACGGAGAGGUAGUGACAAUAAAUACUGAUACAGGGCUCUUUUGGGUCUUGUAAUUGGAAUGAGUACAAUUUAAACCUCUUAACGAGGAACAAUUGGAGGGCAAGUCUGGUGCCAGCAGCCGCGGUAAUUCCAGCUCCAAUAGCGUAUAUUAAAGUUGUUGCAGUUAAAAAGCUCGUAGUUGAACCUUUGGCCUGGCUGGCAGGUCCGCCUCACCGCGUGCACUUGUCCGGCCGGGCCUUUUCUUCUGGAGAACCGCAUGCCCUUCACUGGGUGUGUUGGGGACCAGGACUUUUACUUUGAAAAAAUUAGAGUGUUCAAAGCAGGCCUUUGCUCGAAUACGUUAGCAUGGAAUAAUAGAAUAGGACGUGCGGUCCUAUUUUGUUGGUUUCUAGGACCGCCGUAAUGAUUAAUAGGGACAGUCGGGGGCAUCAGUAUUCAAUUGUCAGAGGUGAAAUUCUUGGAUUUAUUGAAGACUAACUACUGCGAAAGCAUUUGCCAAGGAUGUUUUCAUUAAUCAGUGAACGAAAGUUAGGGGAUCGAAGACGAUCAGAUACCGUCGUAGUCUUAACCAUAAACUAUGCCGACUAGGGAUCGGGCGGUGUUUCUAUUGUGACCCGCUCGGCACCUUACGAGAAAUCAAAGUGUUUGGGUUCUGGGGGGAAUUUGGUCCCAAGGCUGAAACUUAAAGGAAUUG
rnacentral:rRNA from 1 species